UACGAAGGGGGCUAGCGUUGCUCGGAAUCACUGGGUGUAAAGCGCACGUAGGCGGAUUGUUAAGUCAGGGGUGAAAUCCUGGAGCUCAACUCCAGAACUGCCUUUGAUACUGGCGAUCUUGAGUCCGGGAGAGGUGAGUGGAACUGCGAGUGUAGAGGUGAAAUUCGUAGAUAUUCGCAAGAACACCAGUGGCGAAGGCGGCUCACUGGCCCGGUACUGACGCUGAGGUGCGAAAGCGUGGGGAGCAAACAGG
rnacentral:rRNA from 1 species